AACCAGGGAUCUGAAAAAUGCAGAGGGGCCGACCAGGGGAGAGAACUGCAGAAAAGCCAAGUGGGACGAGGGGGCAACCCCGGGGACAGCGACUCACAGAGACACCCAGCCAUGAUCCUGAUGCCACUCCGGCCUCCUGGCCCAACUGGCCCACUGCCCCCCGUUCCUGCCUCCUGCCUGAGGUGGCUGGAAGCCACCACCAACCCCCCUGAGGGGACACGAGACGUGAAGAUCCUGAGAACUGCUGUUCUCCUAAACUGCAUGCAGGUCGCCCACUUCCAUGGUCUCAGUUAAGACUUAUUUGUAAAUGACAGACGCCCACGUCCAACCAGCUUCGGAGAAAACGGACUUAUGGGGUCUUUACUACCCGACGUCUCCAGAGCUUCUUGAUUAAGCAGGAGGCUUAACCAGACCCGGACUGCCUGCCUCGGCGAGGCUUCCCAAGGCCAUCCGGUCUUCAACCUGGUGCCUCCCCACCCUCCCAGGUCCAUCGAGAAGCCCUUGGCCAUCACCUGGGCCAGUGCCAAGUCGAAGAGCCCCACUCCUGUGUUAAGGUGGAACCACUGGAGCAGACCACCUGCCCUCAAGGACUCGGUGAGGCAUCUGCCUGCUCCUAGAUACGCAGCGACUCAAUUUGCAAAAUCUACGCUGGAUUCUGGUGUUGGUCACGGCAGCCCAUCCCUCGCUGAUUGCAACAAAACACAAAAGGCAACUGUCCACGGACGGAAAAUAGCAAGUGGAUUGCUAAAAGGGCCAAAACUCGAAGACUCUUAUGGGAAUGUCAUGUCAAUGGAAUCUGCAGGGUUCGGCCUCCCAGUCUGGUUUCUUUCGCUUCGUGGUUGUAAGAUCAUCUGACCCGUGUCUUCGCUGCCAGAAUGUGAAGCUGUGCACAGCGAGGAACCACGUCUGACUCGGCUCAAGCCACUCCCCUGUCCAGGACCAACUGCAACAGCGCCACCUUCAGGCAUCGCAGAAAGAUGCAUCAUCUGAACCCUGCAAGCCAGAGCGAAAGCAGCCCCUAUAGAGAAGCAGCCGCUGGGGUUCCCCAUCUGAGAGGCUGGAAGGCAGAGCCGCACUUUUACUCUGAAAAUGGAUCGGUUUAGGAGCAGCAAGACAGAUGCCCCC